GGGGUGACUAGUGGCAGAGUGAGGGAAGGGGUGACUAGUGGCAGAGUGAGGGAAGGAAGGGGUGACUAGUGACAGAGUGAGGGAGGGGGUGACUAGUGACAGAGUGAGGGAGGGGGUGACUGUCACUAGUCACACCCUCCCUCUCUCUGUCACUAGUCACACCCUCCCUCACUCUGUCACUAGUCACCCCUUCCUUCCCUCUCUCUGUCACUAGUCACACCCUCCCUCUCUCUGUCACUAGUCACACCC